rnacentral:rRNA from 1 species
GACAGAGGGUGCAAACGUUGUUCGGAAUUACUGGGCGUAAAGCGCGUGUAGGCGGCUCUGCAGGUCAGGUGUGAAAUCCCACGGCUCAACCAUGGAAGUGCACUUGAAACUGCAGGGCUAGAGUCCUGGAGAGGAAGGUGGAAUGCUUGGUGUAGAGGUGAAAUUCGUAGAUAUCAAGCGGAACACCGGUGGCGAAGGCGGCCUUCUGGACAGUGACUGACGCUGAGACGCGAAAGCGUGGGGAGCAAACAGG